CAGAUAACCAGACCGUGAUGCUGCUUCCAGCUGCUGGGUAGAAUACGCUGGGCUGGGACGUGAAGGUGAGGAAAGGAACAAAGCAAGUGAUGCUGGUGGCUUGGAUCACUUUGGUAGCCUGGAAAUGGUUUGGCAAAGCCAUGGCAGAAGAUGAUCGUACAUAGACUCUUACUGGUCCUAUCUCAGUCCUGGGAGCCAUAGAGUAACCAGGCUAUUUGCCGGCUUUCUACAAAAUAUUCCUAGACACUUUAGGCUACUAAUCCUCUUAAGAACUGAGGAGGUAAGGGUCACACUGAC